ACUGAACGCUGGCGGCAUGCCUUACACAUGCAAGUCGAACGGCAGCACGGAGCUUGCUCUGGUGGCGAGUGGCGAACGGGUGAGUAAUAUAUCGGAACGUACCCUAGAGUGGGGGAUAACGUAGCGAAAGUUACGCUAAUACCGCAUACGAUCUAAGGAUGAAAGUGGGGGAUCGCAAGACCUCAUGCUCGUGGAGCGGCCGAUAUCUGAUUAGCUAGUUGGUAGGGUAAAAGCCUACCAAGGCAUCGAUCAGUAGCUGGUCUGAGAGGACGACCAGCCACACUGGAACUGAGACACGGUCCAGACUCCUACGGGAGGCAGCAGUGGGGAAUUUUGGACAAUGGGCGAAAGCCUGAUCCAGCAAUGCCGCGUGAGUGAAGAAGGCCUUCGGGUUGUAAAGCUCUUUUGUCAGGGAAGAAACGGUGAGAGCUAAUAUCUCUUGCUAAUGACGGUACCUGAAGAAUAAGCACCGGCUAACUACGUGCCAGCAGCCGCGGUAAUACGUAGGGUGCAAGCGUUAAUCGGAAUUACUGGGCGUAAAGCGUGCGCAGGCGGUUUUGUAAGUCUGAUGUGAAAUCCCCGGGCUCAACCUGGGAAUUGCAUUGGAGACUGCAAGGCUAGAAUCUGGCAGAGGGGGGUAGAAUUCCACGUGUAGCAGUGAAAUGCGUAGAUAUGUGGAGGAACACCGAUGGCGAAGGCAGCCCCCUGGGUCAAGAUUGACGCUCAUGCACGAAAGCGUGGGGAGCAAACAGGAUUAGAUACCCUGGUAGUCCACGCCCUAAACGAUGUCUACUAGUUGUCGGGUCUUAAUUGACUUGGUAACGCAGCUAACGCGUGAAGUAGACCGCCUGGGGAGUACGGUCGCAAGAUUAAAACUCAAAGGAAUUGACGGGGACCCGCACAAGCGGUGGAUGAUGUGGAUUAAUUCGAUGCAACGCGAAAAACCUUACCUACCCUUGACAUGGCUGGAAUCCUUGAGAGAUCAGGGAGUGCUCGAAAGAGAACCAGUACACAGGUGCUGCAUGGCUGUCGUCAGCUCGUGUCGUGAGAUGUUGGGUUAAGUCCCGCAACGAGCGCAGCCCUUGUCAUUAGUUGCUACGAAAGGGCACUCUAAUGAGACUGCCGGUGACAAACCGGAGGAAGGUGGGGAUGACGUCAAGUCCUCAUGGCCCUUAUGGGUAGGGCUUCACACGUCAUACAAUGGUACAUACAGAGCGCCGCCAACCCGCGAGGGGGAGCUAAUCGCAGAAAGUGUAUCGUAGUCCGGAUUGUAGUCUGCAACUCGACUGCAUGAAGUUGGAAUCGCUAGUAAUCGCGGAUCAGCAUGUCGCGGUGAAUACGUUCCCGGGUCU
rnacentral:rRNA from 1 species